rnacentral:misc_RNA from 1 species
UACGGAGGUGCCUAGCGUGGUUCGGAAUUACUGGGCGUAAAGCCCACGUAGGCGGCUAUUCAAGUCAGGGGUGAAAGCCCGGGGCUCAACCCCGGAACUGCCUUUGAAACUAGAUAGCUAGAAUCAUGGAGAGGUCAGUGGAAUUCCGAGUGUAGAGGUGAAAUUCGUAGAUAUUCGGAAGAACACCAGUGGCGAAGGCGACUGACUGGACAAGUAUUGACGCUGAGGUGCGAAAGCGUGGGGAGCAAACAGG